CACGUAGGGGCCAAGCGUUGUCCGGAUUUAUUGGGCGUAAAGAGCUCGUAGGCGGUUCAGCAAGUCGGGUGUGAAAACUCUGGGCUCAACCCAGAGACGCCACCCGAUACUGCUGUGACUAGAGUCCGGUAGGGGAGUGGGGAAUUCCUGGUGUAGCGGUGAAAUGCACAGAUAUCAGGAGGAACACCGGUGGCGAAGGCGACUACCUGGCCUGUUCUUGACGCUGAGGCGCGAAAGCUAGGGGAGCAAACGGG
rnacentral:rRNA from 1 species